GAUGAAGAACGCAGUGAAAUGCGAUAAGUAAUGCGAAUUGCAGAAUUUCCGUGAGUCAUCGAAUCUUUGAACGCACAUUGCGCCCGCCAGCACUCUGGCGGGCAUGCCUGUUCGAGCGUCAUUUCAACCAUCAAGCCCCCAGGGGCUUGUGCUGGGGCCCUGCGGCUGCCCGCAGGCCCUGAAAACCAGUGGCGGGCUCGCUAGUCACACCGAGCGCAGUAGCACAUCUCGCUCAGGGCGUGCGGCGGGCUCCUGCCGUGAAACCCCCCACUGUAACCCCAAAGGUUGACCUCGGAUCAGGUAGGAAUACCCGCUGAACUUAAGCAUAUCAAUAAGCGGAGGA
rnacentral:misc_RNA from 1 species